UGGGGAAUAUUGCACAAUGGGCGCAAGCCUGAUGCAGCCAUGCCGCGUGUGUGAAGAAGGCCUUCGGGUUGUAAAGCACUUUCAGCGAGGAGGAAGGUGGUGAACUUAAUACGUUCAUCAAUUGACGUUACUCGCAGAAGAAGCACCGGCUAACUCCGUGCCAGCAGCCGCGGUAAUACGGAGGGUGCAAGCGUUAAUCGGAAUUACUGGGCGUAAAGCGCACGCAGGCGGUUUGUUAAGUCAGAUGUGAAAUCCCCGGGCUCAACCUGGGAACUGCAUUUGAAACUGGCAAGCUAGAGUCUCGUAGAGGGGGGUAGAAUUCCAGGUGUAGCGGUGAAAUGCGUAGAGAUCUGGAGGAAUACCGGUGGCGAAGGCGGCCCCCUGGACGAAGACUGACGCUCAGGUGCGAAAGCGUGGGGAGCAAACAGAUUAGAUACCCUGGUAGUCACGCUGUAAACGAUGUCGAUUUUGGAGGUUGUGCCCUUGAGGCGUGGCUUCCGGAGCUAACGCGUUAAAUCGACCGCCUGGGGAGUACGGCC
rnacentral:rRNA from 1 species